rnacentral:hammerhead_ribozyme from 1 species
AUCCAGCUGACGAGUCACAAAUAAGACGGAGGCGCGUCCUGGAU